rnacentral:rRNA from 1 species
GACGUAGGGGGCGAGCGUUGUCCGGAUUUAUUGGGCGUAAAGGGUGCGUAGGCGGCGCGGUAAGUCGGGUGUGAAAUCUCGGAGCUUAACUCCGAAACUGCAUUCGAUACUGCGGUGCUUGAGGACUGGAGAGGAGACUGGAAUUUACGGUGUAGCAGUGAAAUGCGUAGAGAUCGUAAGGAAGACCAGUGGCGAAGGCGAGUCUCUGGACAGUUCCUGACACUGAGGCACGAAGGCCAGGGGAGCAAACGGG